AUUGUGAAUGAACGGACGAAGCUUCUAGUUCAGGAAGCUACGCUGAUAUCUAUGGUUCAGGCCUGGAUCCUAUUGGUCCAUAAGAGAGUUGUUCGUCAGAAUGACAAACCUCUUAUCCGGUAUGGUCCGAUGUUAAUCCGGGAUCAGGAGAGGAUAGCGAAUCUGAACUACAUCUACAACUUCAACGGUACAAAGGCUCUGUGGAUGCUUCGAAUGAAAAGAGCACCUUUCGCCAGGCUUGUGCAGACGUUCAGGGGUAGGGGGCUGCUAGAAGAUAGCAUCCACAUCACUGUGGAAGAGCAAGUAGCCAUGUUCCUCCAUGUUGUUGGUCAUAACCAGAGGUUCAGGGUUGUACACAACACCUUCAAGAGAUCCAUGAAGACCAUCUCCAGGUACUUCAAGCAAGUGAUGUAUGCUGUUGGGGAGCUCAGAGGAGAGAUGAUCAGGUCACCAACCGGCCGAACUCCUACCAAGAUUCACACUAGUAUCCAUACUUCAAGGUCAGCACUGACAAUAUGUAGUUCAUGCCUUGGUAUGUUGUUAUUGUUUUGUCGUGGCCAUAACAACAUCUUGUAA
rnacentral:rRNA from 1 species